CACCUCAGGUUGUGAGCCUCUCAUUUUGCAAGCUAAACAGAGUGGGACCUUGUCCGUUCUUCUCCAGGAAAAAUUCAGUGCUGUAGUUACAUGUGGUGCUCCGAGUAGGAUGUGUCGGUCUGGUGUUUGCGUGCAAUGCUGUCAUGUGGACCUUCUUUGCAAAAGCCCUCCA